ACUCCGUACAGGGAGGCAGCAGUUGGGGAAUCAUUGCACUAAUGGGGGAAACCCUGAUGCAGCCAUGCCGCGUGUGUGAAGGAAGGCCUUCGGGUUGUAAAGCACUUUCAGUAGGGAGGAAGGUAGUGGUAGUUAACACCUGCAUUCAUUUGACGUACCUACAGAAGAAGCACCGGCUAACUCCGUGCCAGCAGCCCGCGGUAAUACGGAGGGUGCGAGCGUUAAUCGGAAUUACUGGGCGUAAAGCGCAUGCAGGCGGCCUGUUAAGUCAGAUGUGAAAGCCCGGGGCUUAACCUCGGAAUUGCAUUUGAAACUGGCAAGGCUAGAGUCUUGUAGAGGGGGGUA
rnacentral:rRNA from 1 species